GCCAGACUCCUACGGGAGGCAGCAGUGAGGAAUAUUGGUCAAUGGGCGGGAGCCUGAACCAGCCAUGCCGCGUGAAGGCGAGUGCCCUACGGGUGUUAAACUUCUUUUGUGCGGGAGCAAUAAGGGCCACGUGUGGCCCGAUGAGAGUACCGCACGAAUAAGCAUCGGCUAACUCCGUGCCAGCAGCCGCGGUAAUACGGGGGGUGCAAGCGUUGUCCGGAAUCAUUGGGCGUAAAGCGUUCGUAGGCGGUAUGUCAAGUCUGAUGUUAAAGCCCGGGGCUCAACUCCGGUUCGGCAUUGGAUACUGGCAAACUAGAAUGUGGUAGAGGUAAAGGGAAUUCCUGGUGUAGCGGUGAAAUGCGUAGAUAUCAGGAGGAACAUCGGUGGCGAAAGCGCUUUACUGGACCAUUAUUGACGCUGAGGAACGAAAGCCAGGGGAGCAAAUGGGAUUAGAUACCCCCGUA
rnacentral:rRNA from 1 species